rnacentral:rRNA from 1 species
UCCUACGGGAGGCAGCAGUGGGGAAUCUUGCGCAAUGGGCGAAAGCCUGACGCAGCCAUGCCGCGUGAAUGAUGAAGGUCUUAGGAUUGUAAAAUUCUUUCACCGGGGACGAUAAUGACGGUACCCGGAGAAGAAGCCCCGGCUAACUUCGUGCCAGCAGCCGCGGUAAU